AGAAAUGCCACAAUGUUGAAAGGAAUGCAUUACAAUUCCCACAAACACACACCCCUCCCUGCAACCACUACAAGAUAUGCAAGGCAACUCUGAGCUGACUUGGAUCUAAUUCUUCCCAAUUCAUGCCACAAGCCCAACUCAUUGGCUGAUACCUGAGGAUGAUCCACUGCUCACUGAGCGUGGUCAGGGAGCGCCGCUGUCGGACGAGCAUCUUCAUCAAAUGUGCUGAGAACCCUCUGCACCUCUCCACGUUGCCCAUGCCCAUUUCCUGGCAGAAGAAGGAAAAACAUGCUGAAGGGGCUGCUGACAAACAUCACCCACAGAUGUGCCUCUAGAAAGUUGUUUCUACUAUAAGCGUCAGACAUGCCACACUCUAGAGGUGACAUAUUCA
rnacentral:lncRNA from 1 species